rnacentral:rRNA from 1 species
UUUUUAAUUGAAAUCUUGUAUGAAUGAUUAGACAAAAGAAAUACUGUCUUUGUAUUAAAAUUUGAAUUUGACUUUUAAGUGAAAAGGCUUAAAUAUUCUAAAGGGACGAUAAGACCCUAUAAAACUUUAUAUUAAUAUUAAAUUUUAUUAAAUUUUUAUUAUAAAGCUAAGGUUUAGUUUUUUAUUAUGUUGGGGAGACAAGAGUUAUAAUUUAUGGUAACUGCUGAAAGUAAAAUCAAUAAUAAUUGAAGUAGUAAAUAGGUCCUUUAUAUAGAUUUAAAGAUUAAGUUACUUUAGGGAUAACAGCGUUAUUUUUUUUAAGAGUUCAUAUCGAAAAAAAAGAUUGCGACCUCGAUGUUGAAUUAAAAUAUCUUUAUAAUGUAGGUGUUAUAAGAGAAGGUCUGUUCGACCUUUAAUUUUUUA